CACAGCAGCCAAUUCACUUUAGAAUAACUCAACUGGCUACCCACUGAAGCUAAUCAGGCGAGAGCCUGGUCAGUACCUGGAUGGGAGACCUCCUGGGAAACACUAAGGUGGCUGCUGGAA
rnacentral:rRNA from 1 species